GUAGAGAGCGGCGCGGCGAAACAAAGAUGGCGCCGACAUCCAGCCUUGUCUGGAUAUAAACGACUUACUGCGCAUGUGCAGGCUUGUCCCCUUGCUAGGGCUCCCUCUAGUGGUGAACAGCGGUACUACACAUGUGCGGUUUAUGCACCAGGUGUCAGUUGACUGUUAAUAUGCUAAUGAGGUGAUUCAUUCUCCGCCAAUCCCUGGAGGACAAGUAGUGGGGUGAUCCAUGCCCCACCAAUCCCUGAGAGAUAAUUAGCAUACUGUUGUCUAUAUAAGUCGAGCGAUUUUGCUGCUCGGGGUCCCUGUUCAAGAGAGCUGUAACACUAAGAAGAGCUGUAACACAGUAAAGGCUUGCUCGCAGAAGAAUCCUGUUGCCGCUCGUCGUUCUUGCUGGCGGGACAUUGGGCGUGCGACAAGUGGUGCUGAAACCUGGGAACCAACAUCGCCGGUGCCGAGGGGACCCUUCAGUGUGCUGAAGAGGAUUCAGAACUGCGAGAAUAAUCAAGAAAAUCCAAUUUGGGUACCCGAGCGUUUGACUCGAAGAUUGUCUUCUGCUCUUCCUGAAGAUGAGACUACGAACCCUACUAUUACUACUGGGAAUGAACAAAGAAAUCUCGAAUUACCUGAAAGGAAACUGGUCCAUAAAAGCAGAGCAACUAUCAAGACAAUUGCUGAUACAGAUUGCUGUCCUCAACAGCACUAGGCUGGACCCCAUCACAGUUGAAGACUUUACCUCAUGGGUUACCAAUGCUUUCUCCCUUUUUAAGGAGUGGGCAGACAUGUUUGUUCCAGGGAGCUAUUGUCCUCCUGGGAUUCGGAGUAGGUCUCUGGCUUAUUGGCCGUUUAAAAAGAGAACAUGCCAGACACAAAGUGGUUGUUUACCAGGCUAUGACCACCAUUAAAAAGGGUACUUCUCCCAACAUAUGGCUGGCCUCUUUGAAAGAUUAAGAGUUCGCCCUAGAUCAUUUUUGUCACAGUCAUGUGGAGUCAUUAUAUCCAGGGACGGACAACUUUCCUCGAACUCGGACCAACCUAAGAAACGGGGCCCGGUGGCGAUAGGGUAACUCUAUGACGGGUAAGGCCGAGUUUAGAUGAGAACGACCUAAGACAGGAACAAUGACAAGAUUGACGUGACACCCAGAUCUAGACCAGUCAUUUUAUUAAACAAAAAAGGGGGAGAUGUAGAGAGCGGCGCGGCGAAACAAAGAUGGCGCCGACAUCCAGCCUUGUCUGGAUAUAAACGACUUACUGCGCAUGUGCAGGCUUGUCCCCUUGCUAGGGCUCCCUCUAGUGGUGAACAGCGGUACUACACAUGUGCGGUUUAUGCACCAGGUGUCAGUUGACCGUUAAUAUGCUAAUGAGGUGAUUCAUUCUCCGCCAAUCCCUGGAGGACAAGUAGUGGGGUGAUCCAUGCCCCACCAAUCCCUGAGAGAUAAUUAGCAUACUGUUGUCUAUAUAAGUCGAGCGAUUUUGCUGCUCGGGGUCACUGUUCAAGAGAGCUGUAACACUAAGAAGAGCUGUAACACAGUAAAGGCUUGCUCGCAGAAGAAUCCUGUUGCCGAGCGUCGUUCUUGCUGGCGGGACAUUGGGCGCGCGACAAGGAGGGAAUUCAUAUCUGGUAGUGUAAACCCAUAGCUAGAGUCAAGUCUGCCUGAGACACAACAACCUCAGGUGACUUCUGCAUUGUUCCAUAUACUCUAUUUUCUAUCUAAUGGUCCCAAGAAGCUUGAAGGACGCCAAGUGUAUCUUGCUUCCACAUGGAAGCCUUUGGGGGACCUCAAGUCUAAUCAGCUUAGAACUCUGCUCCACCGAUCCAAACCCACUCUGGUCCACCUGGGACACGGCAGGGAGAGGUGAGUUGUGCAUGGUUCCAUGAACUCUAGUGUCCAGCUUUAGGUUCGCUCUUUGGUGCCAAGGAGCUUUGCAGGACCCCCAGGAGCAUCCUGGGACCCCAAGACUAAUCACCUUGAACCCUGUUCCACCAGUCCCAUUCUAGUCGGGUUUGCCCAGGACAUGGCCAGCCAAGGUGAGUUGUGCAUGGUCCGAUGAACUCCGUUGUCUAGCUCUGGGCUUGCUCUGUGAUCCUGAGGAAGCUUUCAAGACCCAGAAACAUCCUGCUUCCCCAGAGAGGGCUAUGGAGACCCCCAAGAACUACCAUUUUGGAGCACUGCCCCAUCAAUCCCUUGACAGAGGGGUCUGUCUGAGACGCAGCCACCAGAGUUGGAUAUCCUGACCUCCAAUAUUGGCCCAAGGCUCCCCUCACCUUUCCGAGAAGUCUUGCUGUCAUCAGGAUCAUUCAGCCAACACUAGGGAAAACCCAAUGCCUAAAGAAUAGCACAGAACACAAUCAAUGAGACGCAGGGCAAAAUGGAACCACCAGAGCCCAGCUAUCCUGCUACACAAAACCAUGGAUAUCCUAAUGAAACUGAAGCACAAGAAGAUAAUUUUAAAUCCAAACUUAUAGAUAUGACAGAGGUCUUUAAAGAGGAAAUGGAUAAAUCUCUUAAAGAAAUACAGGAAAAUAUUUCCAAAAGGGUAGAGGCAUUUAAAAAGGAGGCAAAUAAAUAUAAAUACAGGAAAAGACAAUCAAACAGGCGAAGGAUAUAACUAAAAUGUUCAAGAACUGAAAAGGUAAAUCAAAGCAAUAAAGAAAACACAAACCGAGGCAAUCCUGGUGUGAUGACUUGAAUAUUCUUGGCCCAGGGAGCGGCACUAUUUGAAGGUGUGGCCUUGUUGGAGUAGAUGUGUCCCUCUGAGCAUGGGCUUUAUGACCCUCAUCCUAGCACCUGGAAGCCAAUCUUCUCCUAUUUGCUUUCAGAACAAGAUGUAGAACUCUCAGCUUCUCCUGUGCCAUGCCUGCCUGGACACUGCUAUGCUCCCACCUUGAUAAUGGACUGAACCUCUGAACCUGCAAGCCAGCCCCAAUUAAAUGUUG